rnacentral:rRNA from 1 species
AGGGAAGCACGUGAGCUGACUGUCAAGAAAAGCCGCUAUUGUUUGCAGGAUACCCGUACCGUAAACCGACACAGGUGGAUGAGGAGAGAAUCCUAAGGCCGACGGGAGAAGCAUUGUUAAGGAACUCGGCAAAAUGACUCCGUAACUUCGGGAGAAGGAGUGCCAGUAAGAUGGCCGCAGAGAAUUGGCCCAAGCAACUGUUUAGCAAAAACACAGGUCUAUGCAAAACCGAAAGGUGAGGUAUAUGGGCUGACGCCUGCCCGGUGCUGGAAGGUUAAGGGGAGAGGUUAGCGCAAGCGAAGCUUUGAACUUAAGCCCCAGUAAACGGCGGCCGUAACAAUAACGGUCCUAAGGUAGCGAAAUUCCUUGUCGGGUAAGUUCCGACCCGCACGAAAGGCGUAAUGAUUUGGGCACUGUCUCAACAAUGCACCCGGUGAAAUUGAAAUACCAGUGAAGAUGCUGGUUACCUGCGCCAGGACGGAAAGACCCCAUGGAGCUUUACUCCAGCUUGAUACUGGGAUUCGGUACUGCAUGUACAGGAUAGGUGGGAGGCUAGGAAAUGGUAACGCCAGUUGCCAUGGAGCCAAUGUUGGGAUACCACCCUUGCAGUACUGGGUUUCUAACCAGCAGCCGUGAUCCGGCUGGGGGACAAUGUCAGGUGGGGAGUUUGACUGGGGCGGUCGCCUCCGAAAGGGUAUCGGAGGCGCUCAAAGGUUCCCUCAGAAUGGUUGGAAACCAUUCGAAGAGUGCAAAGGCAGAAGGGAGCUUGACUGCGACACCGACGGGUGGAGCAGGUACGAAAGUAGGACUUAGUGAUCCGGUGGUAUAAAGUGGGAUUGCCAUCGUUCAACGGAUAAAAGCUACCCUGGGAUAACAGGCUUAUCACUCCCAAGAGUUCACAUCGACGGAGUGGUUUGGCACCUCGAUGUCGGCUCAUCGCAUCCUGGGGCUGAAGUAGGUCCCAAGGGUUGGGCUGUUCGCCCAUUAAAGCGGUACGCGAGCUGGGUUCAGAACGUCGUGAGACAGUUCGGUCCCUAUCCGGCGUGGGCGUAAGAUAUUUGAGAGGAGCUGUCCUUAGUACGAGAGGACCGGGAUGGACUGGCCGCUGGUGUAUCUGUUGUCUUACCAAAGGCAUAGCAGAGUAGCCAAGCCGGGAAGGGAUAAACGCUGAAGGCAUCUAAGCGUGAAGCCCCCCUCAAGAUGAGAUAUCUCAUAACGUCAAGUUAGUAAGACCCCUUGAAGACGACGAGGUAGAUAGGGCAGAGGUGGAAGUGUGGUAACACAUGGAGCUGACUGUUACUAAUAGGUCGAGGGCAUAACCA